AUUGAACGCUGGCGGAAUGCUUUACACAUGCAAGUCGAACGGCAGCACGGGGGCAGCCCUGGUGGCGAGUGGCGAACGGGUGAGUAAUACAUCGGAACGUGCCCGGUCGUGGGGGAUAACGUAGCGAAAGUUACGCUAAUACCGCAUACGAUCUGAGGAUGAAAGCGGGGGACCUUCGGGCCUCGCGCGAUCGGAGCGGCCGAUGUCAGAUUAGGUAGUUGGUGGGGUAAGGGCCUACCAAGCCGACGAUCUGUAGCUGGUCUGAGAGGACGACCAGCCACACUGGGACUGAGACACGGCCCAGACUCCUACGGGAGGCAGCAGUGGGGAAUGUUGGACAAUGGGCGCAAGCCUGAUCCAGCCAUUCCGCGUGCAGGACGAAGGCCUUCGGGUUGUAAACUGCUUUUGUACGGAACGAAAAGGCUCUGGCUAAUACCUGGGGCUCAUGACGGUACCGUAAGAAUAAGCACCGGCUAACUACGUG
rnacentral:rRNA from 1 species